GAUGAACGCUGGCGGCGUGCCUAAUACAUGCAAGUCGAGCGAACGGACGAGAAGCUUGCUUCUCUGAUGUUAGCGGCGGACGGGUGAGUAACACGUGGAUAACCUACCUAUAAGACUGGGAUAACUUCGGGAAACCGUAGCUAAUACCGGAUAAUAUUUUGAACCGCAUGGUUCAAAAGUGAAAGACGGUCUUGCUGUCACUUAUAGAUGGAUCCGCGCUGCAUUAGCUAGUUGGUAAGGUAACGGCUUACCAAGGCAACGAUGCAUAGCCGACCUGAGGGGGGGAAGGGCCACACUGGAACUGAGAAACGGUCCAGACUCCUACGGGAGGCAGCAGUAGGGACUCUUCCGCAAUGGGCGAAAGCCUGACGGAGCAACGCCGCGUGAGUGAUGAAGGUCUUCGGAUCGUAAAACUCUGUUAUUAGGGAAGAACAUAUGUGUAAGUAACUGUGCACAUCUUGACGGUACCUAAUCAGAAAGCCACGGCUAACUACGUG
rnacentral:rRNA from 1 species